CAUCACUACGCUAGAUGCAUAUCAAUAAGCGGAGGAAAAGAAACUAACUAGGAUUCCCCUAAGUAACGGCGAGUGAAGCGGGAAGAGCUCAAAUUUGAAAUCUUAAAGGGUUCUACCUUGACGAAUUGUAGUUUAAAGAAGUGUUUUCUGUUGGAGUUUCGGUAAAAGUUCUUUGGAAUAGGACAUCAUAGAGGGUGAGAAUCCCGUAUUUGACCAUUACUUUCCAACUUUGUGAUACACUUUCAAAGAGUCGGAUUGUUUGGGAAUGCAGUCCAAAAUGAGUGGUAAAUUUCAUCUAAAGCUAAAUAUUGGCGAGAGACCGAUAGCGAACAAGUACCGUGAGGGAAAGAUGAAAAGAACUUUGAAAAGAGAGUUAAACAGUACGUGAAAUUGUCAAAAGGGAAGCGUUUGACACCAGUGUUGUUUUUCCUGAAAAUCAAUUAAGAAUGGCCGGAUUUUAAGUUUCAUGACCUUAAAAGCUUGUUUCUUAUUUUUCUUGUCUUUCUUAAUGCACUUUUCGGUUAACAAGUCAACAUCAAUUUCUUUUGUUGUAAAAGGUUAAGAGGAAGGUGGCUUUACUUUCGGGUAAAGUGUUUAUAGCCUUUUAACUCUGCAAUCGGAGAGAUUGAGGUCUGCAGCGUAGAUCCUUCGGGGCUAGAUACGUUUGUGCUAAGUUAUAGCUUUUCAUAGACAACUUGUUGACUAUGUUAAGUCUUGUAGCUUACUCGCUUAUGCUAUUUUACCUACGCUUAGGAUGUUGACACACGCGCGUGCUCG
rnacentral:rRNA from 1 species